GAAAAGCUGGGAGUGGAAAACCUGGGAUGGGAAACCUGGGAUGGGAUAUACGGACCCCAUUGGAACAGCUGGGAUGGGGACACGGGCCAGAGGGACACCAGGCACAGGGACAGUGGGAAAAGGGACAUUUUUGGGAGGGGGAAGGGAUCCUUGGGAACAGGAUGCCCGGAACUGGGUCACCCGGGACGGGGCCAAAAUCCGGGAACAGGGACACCAAUCCAACCUCCAGCGGGACGGGAACAGCCUCCAGCAGCGCGACCUGGCGCUGUCCCCUCCCUGCCCUGCCCUGCCCACCUGUCCGUGUGUCCGUCCAUGGCUCCGGCCCGCUGCUCCC